CAAUAGCGUAUAUUAAAGUUGUUGCAGUUAAAAAGCUCGUAGUUGGAUUUCGGGGCAGCCUGGCUGGUCCGCCGCAAGGCGAGUACUGGUCAGCCGCCCUUCCUCUCGAAAGCCCCGACUGCUCUUUAUUGCAGUGGUCGGGUAGUUCGGGACGUUUACUUUGAAAAAAUUAGAGUGUUCAAGGCAGGCCUACGCCUGAAUACAUUAGCAUGGAAUAAUGGAAGAGGACCUCGGUCCUAUUUUGUUGGUUUCCAGGACCGAAGUAAUGAUUAAGGGGGACAGUUGGGGGCAUUCGUAUUUAAUUGUCAGAGGUGAAAUUCUCGGAUUUAUGAAAGACGAACAACUGCGAAAGCAUUUGCCAAGGAUGUUUUCAUUAA
rnacentral:rRNA from 1 species